rnacentral:lncRNA from 1 species
CUUGUCUGCUGCCAUGUGUCUUGUGUCUUUCACCAUGAUUGUGAGGCCUCCCCUGCCGCGUGGAACUCCCAGAGAUUGUCAACAAUAGAGAAACAUCACGGAAGACAAAAAACCCACAGGCACUUUGAGUCCACCAGUCAACAGCCUAUACUGAUUGCUGGUGGGGUUCCCUGUAUCCAGCGAGGAAGACAGAAUGCAAAGCCAAGAAAGGUACAUGAAAUGUGUGGUAGUGGUUCCUCUUGUGAUCAAGCAGCUUUAGAGAUUGGCAUUGAAAAUAUAGAACUAUGAUUUAUGAUCUUCAACAUGAAAAUGAUCAUUGAUGCGACACAGAAAAAUACAAAACAGGAUUGACGGCCACAAUGUGUAUAUGUGUUGUGAGUGUAAAGGGUAGAAUAUUUCAGACUCUCUGUGUUAACCAAAAAUAAAAUUAUUUUCUUGUUUUUCUGUAACUCAACCUCAAUUUGAACACACUAUUUCACAUAAUAACAGAAAUUUGGUCUAAUCAUUCAAAACAAACUCCAAGGUUUUCUCAGUCAUUUCUUACGUAAUCUCAAUAUUCUCUCUCUUUCAUUCCUUUUCCAUUUGUGGAGGUGAGAGGCUAAUAAUAGUAAUAAUUAUAACAAUAGCUAAAAUAUUAAGCUACUAUUAACUUCUUAAGGUGCAAUCCCUCCCUCACACCACUCCCUGCUUUCUCAUCCCCAGACAGCUGAUCUUCUUUCUAUCGUGAUAGAUUAGUCUGCAUUUUUAUAUGUCAUUUUAUAUAAAUUGAAUCAUACCAUAUGUACUCUUUUUGUUUGGCUUCAUUCACUCAACAUAAUUUUUUUGAGAUUCAUUCAUAUUGUUGCUUGUAUUAAUAAUUCAUUCCUUUUUAUUGUGUGAAUAUACCUCAUUCCAUUAAACAGGUAAUGGAAAUUUUGGUUGUUUCCAGUUUGUAACCAUCACAAAUAGAGUCUCUGUGAAUAUUAAGGUACAACCUGUUUGGUGGACAUAUGUUUCCACUUUCCUUCUACUCUUCCUAGAAGUGGAAUGCAGGGGUCAUACGGUAGGUGUUCAUACAUCUUUCUAAGAAAAUGCCAAACUGUUUUCCAAAGUGAUUUUAUUAUUUUACAUUCACACCAGUAAUGUAUAAGAGUUUAUAGUCCCUCCAGCAAACUAACAAGGAACAGAAAACCAAACACCACAUGUUUUCACUCAUAAGCGGGAGUUGAACGAUGAGAACAUAUGGACACACGGAGGGGUACAUCACACAUCGGGGCCUAUCAGGUGGUUGGGGGCAAGGGUAGGGAAAACAUUAGGACAAAUAUCUAAUGCAUGUGGGGCUUAAAACCUAGAUCAUGGGUUGACAGGUGCAGCAAACCACCAUGGCACAUGUAUACCUAUGUAACAAACCUGCACGUUCUGCAUAUGUAUCCCAGAACUUAAAGUAAAAUUAAAAAUAAAAAAGUUUACAGCCCCCCAAUAUGUAAUAUGCUCAGACUUUUAAAAUUUCUGUCAUUUCAGUGGGUGAGUAGUGAUAACUCAUUGUGGUGGAAUUUUCAUUUCCCUAGUGACUAAUGAUCUUAAGCCUCUUUUGAUGUGUUUAUCAUCUGUAUAACUCCUUUGAUAAAACAUCUGUUUGUAUAUCUUGCCCAUUUUCUACUAUGCUAUUUCUUUUUAUUAGACAUUUUUAUGUUCUAAUUACAAGUUAUUUAUCAGAUUCAUGUUUGCAAUAUUUUUCCUGGUUUAUUUGCUUAACAGAAUAAACUGUUUUAGAUGGUAAUGCACAAUAUUAAUUUUUUUCUCUUAUGAAUUGUGUUUCUGGUGUUGUAUUUAAGAAAUAUUUUCCAAGGCCAAGACCACUAAAGUUUUCUCCUAUGUUAUCGUCUAGAAGUCCUAUACUUUUGACAUGUU